AUUUCUUGGGCCACUCCCGUGGCAUAUGGAGGUUCCCAGGCUAGGGGUCGAAUUGCAGCUGUAGCUGCUGGCCUACGCCAGAGCCACAGCAACGCAGGCUCCAAGCCGCGUCUGCAACCUACACCACAGCUCAGGGCAACGCCGGAUCGUUAACCCACUGAGCAAGGGCAGGGACCAAACCUGCAACCUCAUGGUUCCUAGUCGGGUUCGUUAACCACUGCACCACGACGGGAACUCCAAGUAUCACUUUUUAAAACUGACAAGAAAUGAAUAAGAUCUAUAUAAAGAUACUCUGAAACUUGACUUAAUUACAUGGAUUUUUUAGUCAUUUUAAUGUGAUUUAAUAUAAGAAAGUAACAAUUAUCAUAACAUUAUUCUAUAAACUUACUUCACAUACUAAUAGUAGUUCUUUUGUUAGUCUUCUAAUUUUUAUUUUUGUUUUGGAACUAGGCAAACUGACACUAAAAUUUAUAUGGAAAUUUUACAUUUAAAAAAGACAGAAAAGAUUAGAGUGGUAACUAGCACUACUAAAUAUUUAAGCAUAUUUUAAGAUUAUAUUAAUUCACAGUUUGAUGCUGGUGCCUGAGUAGAUAAAUGAUAUAAAAUAUGAAGUCUAAAAUACAAUAAAACACAAAUAUUUGCUUAAUGGAUAACAAUGAUGGCACUGAAAACCAUUAAGAGAAAAUAAAUUUCAAUAAAUGCACUUUAUAUAACUGGAAAACAAUCCAGAUGAAAAACAACCACAAAACAUGAUAAAAGCGAAGUUGAUUCCAUAUCACUUCUUACUCCAGAAAAAAUUCCGGAUUUAGCAAAGAUUUAGACAUGACAACAAAUAAAAAUGCACAAAAAUUACUCCUUAGGAAAAAGUGUUUUAAACAGCAUCCAAAAUCCAGAGACUAAAAGAGACAAUAUUGAGGAAGAGAAUAAAUAUUAGCAAUCUGUGGAUGUCAGAAACUAUAAACAAAGUCACAGAUAAGCAGUACCUUGGGAUGUGUGAUAUAUUAUAGAAACCUUAUUUUCUUAAUAAGGAAAGAACUUCAAAAUCAGUAAAAGAAAAAAAAAAAAGUCAGAAAAGAAAAUGAGUGAACAAUGGACUACAGCAGAUAAAUACCUGGUAUUUAAACCUAUGGUCUACCAUUAAUUGCACUCAUAUGAAGAUAAAUGUUAAUUGAAAAUAAAACGUUUUUUUCAGCAUUAAAAGGUUAAAAAUUAAAAAGUUCCUUUUGUGAAUUCCCUUCUGGCUCAGUAGGUUAAGGUUCCAGUGUUGUCACUGCAGCAGCUUGGGUCACUGCUGUGGUGCAGGUUUGAUCCCUGGCCUAGGAACUUCCAGAUGCCACGAGUAUGGCAAAAAAAAAAUCCUUUUGGUAAGGAUGUGUAGAAGUGGGAAUUGUAAGAUAUUUUGUGUGAAAACAUAAAUUCCUAUACCUUAACAGAAGGGUAAUUACUCAGCACCUAAGUAAAUAGUGUUCAUAGCAUUGACCAUAAAUUUAUUUAGAACAUAUCCAAAGAUAUACUUGUCAAAAUGUGUUUUAUUUACUGCAACUUUAACUAUUGUACAAAAUAUCAGAAAGUGUCUAAACGUUCAUCAAAAAGAGGUGAAAUGAAUAAUUACAUUGCAUCAUAAUUGCCUCUGAUUUAGUUUUCAAAGGUGGCAAAGGUAUUUUUUUCACUAUAUUUUUCUAUUUUAUGUUUUACUAAGUGCAAAUAUUACCUUUUAAAACAUACAGACACAGAGACACACACACACACACACACACACACACACACAAUGGGAGUAAUGAACAAUGGAGAGUAAAAAGCAGAAAGUACAUAUAAUAAAGCCAAGAGUGAGAUUGACUCAGAAAAUGUAUGAUAAUUUAUUUUAUGCAGCCUAAAUAUUUACAAAGGUGGGACCCAAAUGUCUUCAUUGUGAUAAUAAGGGCAUAGCCAUUUAACAAAUUGCUGACAAUAAGAUUAAGAAUAAAAACAAUUUGUAAAAGAAGCACAGCUAUCUGUGAUACCGAAAUGUUUCUGUUGGAGUAAAUGAACAUUUAAUAAAGAUGUUAACUAUAUCCUAACACUUAACUAUAUCCUAACAUUAGAAAGCUACAUAAUUUAAAAAAAGCUCUCUCUUUAUACAGUUUUCUUUAUCAUUCCAAAGCUUAUCUCAGGUUUUUAAAAAUGUACCUUAUAGGAAACUAUUAUGAUGGAUUUCAGGUUUCCUGACUUUAUGCCUUAAUCCAGUAAUUCAAUUGAACGUGUAGAAGUUUGGAAGAACAUGCGUGUUAUUUUUCUCCACUAAGGAGUAGAGUAAUAUUCUACAUGAAAUACAGGAAUUCUAAGUUCUAGGAGAGCUGCACAAAUCAGCAAAAUCGGGGGCUAGGAGACUGACUGCUUUGUGAAAACCAAAGAGCUACUAGGACAUUCAUCUCAAUGAGAGGCAGUGCCAUUUUAUAUUUAUAUCGUGUAAGGUCUGUGCAGUUUAUCAAACCCUCUAAUAUAAAUUGGCAUGUUAUUUUUGACUGGAGCAGCAACUCCUAGUAGCAAGGAAGUUAUUACUAUAAAUGAAGAAACUGAUUUUGGAUGAUUUGAUCACUGUCAAAGGAAUAGGUAAAUGACAGAGCCAGUUCUGAAUGAUACUAGGCCUCAUUUAUAUUGCACAUAUCUUAUAUACAUAAAUUUAUAAAAUAUAUACAUUUCCUCCCUUGUGCAUUUUUUUGCUAUUUUUUUCCUUAUUCAAAAUCUGAUUAAUUCUUUUAUGACUUCUAGGAAUCUUUUUGUUUGUUUUUUGUUGGAAUGGAAUUUUUGAUACAAAGAGAACAAUAGCUAGAGAUAUGGGGUCAAAGAGGAAUACACACCCACACCCACCCCUUACACACAGAUGCACAAACUUCUAAGAAGAGAUAUAUAUACGAUUGCUGUUGAAGGAAAAGGGAGAUUUGGGGGGGGGGAUAAAAAAGGAGAAAAUGAUAUCUAGUGUGUAGACAUACCUGAGAACACAAAGCAAGAGAAAAGUCAGAGAAGAAACAGAAUGUUCAGCCUUUGAAGGAGACUUUUCUCACUCAUUAUAGGGGAGAAAAGAAGAUGGGUGGAGAGAACUUUUGCCAGAAUAAAAAGGCAAUCAAGCAAUGUUCAGAAUGGACUUAAGGGCAUAGUUAGCUUAGUGAUGAAAAUAUUUGAUACAGUAAAAUAAAAUUAGGUAUCUGAAAGAAAUGUGUAAAUUCUUAAGCUUUACAGACAGGACAAGCUUUACUGUGAACAUGUGUGUACUUCUUUAUCCCCUUUGGGAGACUGAAAGCAUCCUAAGAGUGAGAACCUUCUUUUCCAUGUGUCUUUUAUAAUAUGUUGUUUCAUUCAUGACCAGUAUCAUGUGCAGCCUUUACAUUCCAACGCUAAAGACAUUGGUUUCUGAUACAAAUAUAUACCAAAGACUUACAUGUUUAUUUGUUUACUAAACCACUUUUUUUUUUCCUGCUUUUUAGGGCCACACCCGUGGCAUACAGAAAUUCCCAGGCUGGGAGAUGCAUCAAGAGCUACAGCUGCCAGCCUAAGCCACAGCCACAGCAACGCAAGAUUCGAGCUGCAUUUGCAACUUACACCACAGGUCAUGGCAACUACAGAUCCUUAAUCCACUAAGCAAGGCUAAGGAUCAAACCUGCCUCCUCAUGGAUCUUUGUCGGGUUUGUUACCUCUGAGCCACGACGGGAACUCUCUGAAAUGAAAUCUUUAACUGCAUUGGCUGUGUCACUUACAAGUUAAGUGAGCACGUUGCUUAGCAUAAAAUUAAUAAUAACCCAUGGAUUUUCAUGAAGAUCUAAUGAAAUAUUUCAUAUAAGGCACAUAGAACAAUGUGUAGCACGUAGUAAACUUGCUGUAAUGGGAGCAACCAUCACUUAGUAGUCAUCAUCAACUGACUGACUGAUGAAUAGAUCAGCUGAUGACGAACUUGACUAAAGGAAGAAAUUAUGUACUCUCUUUCAAAACACUGGAGAUGGGAAUAUUCUGGUUGUUCAUUAGGUGUCAUACCAUGCUAAACUUUAGUAGGUAAUGCUCAAAACAGCUACUUUUACUUAGUUCAUAACUUUGAAAGUAACCACAUUAUAGUCUUUCAAGGUAAGAUACAACUGAGAAAGUUUCCAUCAGGUUUAGUCUUAUGAUUUGACUUGCCCAAAUGUCCACAUCUAUCUAAAAAUGGACUCAAGGUUUCCUAUGAAUUCUAUGCCAUUCUCCAAAAGGAGACCUUAGCUACAAGACUCAAGACUGCCUGAGAAGUACAACCUCUCUUUAAGAAACACAAUGCAUCUUGGAUCCAAAUCACUUUUUACAACUCUUCCAUUCAGUACAUGACUGAAAUAAAGAUCAAUUCACAUUCCAGUCUCUCUACAGAUAAAUAAAUGAUGAGCAAUAUCUCCAAGGCAGGUGGAGCUCUUGGUGAUGGAAAAGCUGAAUGAAUACAUAAGCACACAUGAAAGACAGAUUUUGAGCACACAUCCUAAUUCCCUUUGGUCUUCCCAGGCACAUCAUCUGAUGUCAAAAAUUCUUUCUGUGGAGGAAUUUUCUGUGAGGUUUCCAUGGUAUAUGUAGGUUGCUUUCCUAUUAUUGUUG
rnacentral:lncRNA from 1 species